UCCUGCUCAUCCUCAAUAAAAUCCAUCCGCCCACUGCUCCAGUAAGAGAUAAACGGAUUCUCCCCUCUGAUGGCUCUGGUUAAUCAGUCAACUGUCCACUGUGACUCUGCAGGGUCACCAGCAGAUGUUAUCAUUUUUUUAAAUGCAGA